rnacentral:lncRNA from 1 species
UUUAUCUCAGAACCAGACCCAGAGGUGAUUUACACAUCUCACUGUUUGAGAUACUAUUUGGACAUCCACCUAUUCAGGCAUAACCAUUUGCCUAUACCUCACUGUUAGAAGGGGAUACAAUCAUUGCUACAUAUAAUAUCAGAUAAUUACAAACAAAAUUGCAAGAACUCCAUGACUCUGGAGCUGCUAUUCAAGCAGGCCCCAUUGAUUUCUCAUUUUAUGAUUUAAACCCAGGUGAUAGUGUGUACGUAAAGAAUUUUAAACAUACUGGGUCAACUGAACCUGCUUAUGAUGGACCAUCCCAGGUCCUAGUAACUACAUCAACAGCCAUAAAAAUUGGAGAGAGGUACUCUUGGAUUCAUUGUAGCCAUGCAAAGGACUUUCUGAAGAGAAACCUGAGCAGACUUUACCUCAACUCCUGUUGCCCAUGGGUGAGUCAAACUGAUUUUCUCUCAGGGGGCUCAGGCUGACAAAGCCUCAGUUUCCCCAAACUUGAGGAGAAGAUAAAGGAUUUAGAUAGAGACAGGGACCUCUUUUCCCCACAUUCCUUUCCCAUUCUUCCCUGCCUGUUAUUCCUUUUGUAUUACCUGACUGAGUUGACAUUAAAAGUUAUCUGUUCCCCAAGCUGAGUGUGAACAACAGAUCAAGAGGAGACCCUUUAGUCUCGAGUAGUGGAGGGGGGGAAAGAGGGACAAUAGCAAAUUGGGGAGAGCAGCUUUAGCUAAGGAGGGAAGGCAGAAGGGGGAAAAUCUUCAAACCCCCUCUCCUCUCUCUGAGCCGACCCAAAACAUCACCUGUCUCCCAUAAACCCCACUUUGAGAAAAGGGCAGUUCUAUACUCUUUCCCCCUUUCUAUACUGAAAGGCUGAACUCUUCUGUUAAAAAUUAACCUCCCCUUUUUAAUACAGAUCACAGGGGGAAUGUAUUGAUUUAGAAUCUUGGACCCUAGAGACUACAUUUCCCACAAUCCCAUUUUCCUCUUCCUCUUUGGGUUUCUCCUUAUGUGGAGGACAUUUUGAGUUUACAUUUCUGCCCACUCUCUCUCUCUUGGGCUGGUAUCAGCAUGAAGGAGGGAGUGACUUUUUGGCCUUGUUCUGUUUUUUUUUUUUUAAUUUCUCUGAUUCUUUUUAAUGUCUCUCUGCUCUAAGUGGGUUUUUAAUAAAUAAUAUUAAAAUAAUACUUGGAAUAUUCA